UACGUAGGGACCAAGCGUUGUUCGGAUUUACUGGGCGUAAAGGGCGCGUAGGCGGCGUAUUAAGUCAGCUGUGAAAUCUCCAAGCUUAACUUGGAACGGUCAGCUGAUACUGAUGUGCUAGAGUGCAGAAGGGGCAAUCGGAAUUCUUGGUGUAGCGGUGAAAUGCGUAGAUAUCAAGAGGAACACCGGAGGUGAAGACGGGUUGCUGGGCUGACACUGACGCUGAAGCGCGAAAGCUAGGGUAGCAAACGGG
rnacentral:rRNA from 1 species